CGUGAAUAACAGUACUGUACCCUCCUACCCAGGCUCCAGGUUUAUCUGAAGUUAAGAUGUGACCUGCCCCCAAAGAGCCAAGCUCUCAACGUCAGGGUGCACCUGCCCCUGCCUCGAGGGGUGGUCAGCUUAUCGCAGGAGCUGAGCAGCCCAGAGCAGAAGGCAGAGCUGGGGAGUGGAGCCCUUCACUGGGACCUGCCUCGGGUGCAGGGGGGCUCUCAGCUCUCAGGCCUUUUCCAGAUGGAUGUGCCAGGCCUCCCUGGACUUACUCGCCAAGGGCCCUCCACCGCAGCCCCUCCUCUGGGACUGGGCCCUGCCAGCCUCUCCUUUGAACUUCCCCGGCACACGUGCUCUGGCCUCCAGGUCCGCUUCCUCAGGCUGGCAUUCAGACCGUGCGGCAACACCAACCCCCACAAGUGGGUGCGACACCUGAGCCACAGCGAUGCCUAUGUCAUUCGGAUCUGAGGCUCCCGUACGAGGGCUGGGUGGCGAGCAGUGGUCUGUGGAAUGAGAGGACUGUGCUCUCUUCCAGCCUUCUGGCCUGCAGCUCCAGAUCUGGUUGGAAGGGUCCUGAGUCCUGAGGAUCCUUGUGUGUAACUGGCACAGGAAGGACUGAGAUGGAUCAGAACUUACAAACCAAACUUUUAUUCUGAGGAACUGACUGUACAAUAUCUAAAAAAGUUACCACGGGG